UGGGCGAUCGACUAACGGUAGGUCAACUGCCUUUGACGCAGUCAGUCCAGGUUCGAAUCCUGGUCGCCCAGCCA
rnacentral:tRNA from 1 species